UGGGGAAUUUUGCACAAUGGGGGAAACCCUGAUGCAGCGACGCCGCGUGAUUUAGAAGGCCUUCGGGUUGUAAAAAUCUUUUUUACGGGAUGAAAAUGACAGUACCGUAAGAAUAAGGUCCGGCUAAAUACGUGCCAGCAGCCGCGGUAAUACGUAUGGACCGAGCGUUGUCCGGAAUCAUUGGGCGUAAAGGGUACGUAGGCGGCCUAGUAAGUUAGAAGUGAAAUAAUAUAGCUCAACUAUAUAAAGCUUUUAAAACUGCUAGGCUUGAGAGAUGGAAGGGAAAGUGGAAUUCCUAGGGUAGCGGUGAAAUGCGGAGGUAUUAGGAAGAAUACCGGUGGCGAAGGCGACUUUCUGGUCAUCAUCUGACGCUGAGGUACGAAAGCGUGGGUAGCAAACAGG
rnacentral:rRNA from 1 species